rnacentral:lncRNA from 1 species
GCACAACGUAUCUCCCUUCCUGCCCCUAGUCUAAGCUUCACGUUUCAUUUCUUCCACUCGCGGUCUGCCGCUUCCCAGGUCACCUUUCCUUUUGGAGCAAGAUCGCGGGGAGCCUUUGAAAAGGGAAGUUGGGGGGCGCACACAGAGGCCUCGGUUUCCGGCCUGUGAGUGGGAAUGCUGACCUGAUUUUUUUUUCUUUUCUUUCUCCAGGAGUAGCUGAUUCAGAUUAAUCGGUUAGCAGCUGGCGCUUUAUGCUGACUCUGAAAGAGUCUCAUGGAUUCAAGUUUAAAUUGGAGAAGAGGAGAGAGAAGAGACGAGUGACAGGAAGAAGGUGCCAACUCCUCCGCAGACCAUCCGCUGCCCACUCGGGCCUGGAUUCUAGAUCCUCUCUGUGGAAUGUGUGGGGUGCGCCCCCCCCCCCGCCCUCAUGGAAGCUGACCAGCGGGAUCACAGAUGGUGUUGUGCAGGUCCGUGCAGGUGGGAUGCUUACAGAGCCUGGAUUCUUGCGGCAGAGGUAUCGUGAAUGAAACUCAAUGGCGAUUCACUGGACCAAAAUUAAUUUCUAAAUAAUUCAGGCUCUUUUCCAGUGCAUUUUACACCCUUCAGAAACACUUGCUCACUCCUUCUCCCUCCACCUAUGUCCCACCCUCCCAGGCCUGAUCUCUCCCAGCGAGUGGUGGGCUUGUCCGUUGCGCCUCUGGGGCACUACUUCCCUGCACUGUCCAUCC